rnacentral:rRNA from 1 species
GUCCUAGCCCUAAACGGUGCGCGUUUGCUGUGGGAGGAAUCGACCCCUUCCGUGGCGAAGCUAACGCGAUAAACGCGCCGCCUGGGGAGUACGGUCGCAAGAUUAAAACUCAAAGAAAUUGACGGGGGCCUGCACAAGCGGUGGAGUAUGUGGCUUAAUUCGAUGCAACGCGAAGAACCUUACCUGGCCUUGACAUGCAUUUGGUAGAACCGUGAAAGCGGGACGACCCCGCAAGGGGAGGAUGCACAGGUGCUGCAUGGCUGUCGU